rnacentral:rRNA from 1 species
AUUGAACGCUGGCGGAAUGCUUUACACAUGCAAGUCGAACGGCAGCACGGACUUCGGUCUGGUGGCGAGUGGCGAACGGGUGAGUAAUGUAUCGGAACGUGCCCAGUCGUGGGGGAUAACGUAGUGAAAAUUACGCUAAUACCGCAUACGAUCUAUGGAUGAAAGCGGGGGAUCGCAAGACCUCGCGCGAUUGGAGCGGCCGAGAUAAGAUUAGGUAGUUGGUGGGGUAAAGGCCCACCAAGCCAACGAUCUGUAGCUGGUCUGAGAGGACGACCAGCCACACUGGAACUGAGACACGGUCCAGACUCCUACGGGAGGCAGCAGUGGGGAAUUUUGGACAAUGGGCGAAAGCCUGAUUCAGCCAUUCCGCGUGCAGGAUGAAGGCCCUCGGGUUGUAAACUGCUUUUGUACAGAACGAAAAGGUUUCUACUAAUACUAGGAGCUCAUGACGGUACUGUAAGAAUAAGCACCGGCUAACUACGUGCCAGCCGCCGCAGUAA